rnacentral:lncRNA from 1 species
CCUCCAGCUCUCCCCUCCAAGAGCAUCUUUCUUCUGGGAUGGGCAGUGAGCCCCUCUCAGGUUAGAGUGUGGUCCAUGGCUGACUUGCAGGCACUAUCAUGGAAUAGAUGUGAGGAGGAAAUGGGCUGGAGUAGGAAGAAGGUCCAGGCCUACAGGACCCCAAGCCUCAAGUGAAGCCCUGCAAGGUCCUUUCCACUCAUCCAAGGCAGAAUUCCAGCACCACAGGCUCUCCCAACCCCACCAAACCACCCAGGGAGAAGAGAAAAUCUGUUCCACAUUAAAGAUAUCUAACAAUUAUUUUUAAGCACAACCACAAAGGCUUUGCAUGAGCAGCCCUUCUCAUAUUUACCUCCCAUGCAGUCCCAAGGUCCCCCAAAAUGAACCAGAGAAUCUUUGCACAUCAGAACAGUCUGGUUGUAACAGCUGCCCUGUGUAUAAGCACUGGACAAGGUUUCCCCCAAAAACCCACUACAGAAACUUUGCAAACCCAUCUUUUAGGUUUUAGCUCUCACUCUGCAAAAUCCAGGUCUAUAUGGGCAACACACAGCACAUUGGGAUGGCAUCCAAGGAUCCAGUGGGCAUUGCCAGGCCCAGCUCACCUCCAGCACAUGAAGUCAGCACAGCCAGCCUGACUGACCAGCUCCAGCAUCUCCCAGGUGAAGGACUCAACAGUGUAGAAAGGUAAAUGCAGCUGAAGAACACAGCCAAGUCUGGCAGAACCCCCCCAUUCUGUGACCAUUUUGACAAUUUCAAGUUGUCUUGUAAAGUGCUGAGAGGUGCCUUUCUGCUCCUGCAAGAAGCCUGUGCUCCUCUGCAAACUGCUGCCAAGCUGCUGCAGGACCAGACUAGUUUAUCCCUGCAGUUCCCCUGGAGACAGAGCCAUCAUCCAGUGACAGUCCCACUUUGGGAGAGCUGCCUGGUUCUGCCAGCCUCUACCCAUUUACCCAGAGAGGAAAGCUGGGCCCUGUGACGUGAAGACUCUGCAGCAAGACACAAAUAAAACACCAGAAGACAUUAAAUACUCCUGUCUU